UUCGGGCUCGGGCAGGCUGUCGGCCUCGGUCGGACGGCAGGCUCGGGCCUUUCUGCCUGGGGACUCCGUCACACUUAACUGUGGGGCGGUUGGACGCAGGCCGUUUACUUUGAAAAAAUUAGAGUGUUCAAAGCAGGCCUACGCUUGAAUACAUUAGCAUGGAAUAAUGGAAUAGGACUUUGGUGCUAUUUUGUUGGUUUAUGGGACCGAAGUAAUGAUUAACAGGGACAGUUGGGGCCGUUUAUAUUUCGUUGUCAGAGGUGAAAUUCUUGGAUUUACGAAAGAUAAACUUCUGCGAAAGCAUUCGGCAAGGAUGUUUUCAUUGAUCAAGAACGAAAGUUAGGGGAUCGAAGACGAUCAGAUACCGUCGUAGUCUUAACCAUAAACUAUGCCGACUAGGGAUCAGUGGAUGUCAAUUUGCGACUCCAUUGGCACCUUGUGAGAAAUCAAAGUUUUUGGGUUCCGGGGGGAGUAUGGUCGCAAGGCUGAAACUUAAAGGAAUUGACGGAAGGGCACCACCAGGAGUGGAGCCUGCGGCUUAAUUUGACUCAACACGGGGAAACUUACCAGGUCCAGACAUAGUAAGGAUUGACAGAUUGAAAGCUCUUUCUUGAUUCUAUGGGUGGUGGUG
rnacentral:rRNA from 1 species